CUCUGCGAGAAGUCCAUUGAACCUUAUCAUUUAGAGGAAGGAGAAGUCGUAACAAGGUUUCCGUAGGUGAACCUGCGGAAGGAUCAUUGUCGAGACCGAAAUAUCUAUCGUGCGAUUCGGAGAACACGUGAAUUUAGUGGCGGCAGUCACCGUCGCAUAAGAUUUCAUCCUGGUCGUUGCCUCAUCUCCUCUGGGGGGCCCGGUUCAGGAUGGAUGAAACUCAAACCGGCGCAAUUCCGCGCCAAGGGAAUAUAAAAAAAUCACGAGCCCUACAUCGGGUUUAGUGGCGUGGAGUGCUAUAGCGCACCACACGAUUCUAUACGACUCUCGGCAAUGGAUAUCUCGGCUCUCGCAUCGAUGAAGAGCGCAGCGAAAUGCGAUACGUGGUGCGAAUUGCAGAAUCCCGCGAACCAUCGAGUCUUUGAACGCAAGUUGCGCCCGAGGCCAACCGGCCGAGGGCACGUCUGCCUGGGCGUCAAGCGUUGCAUCGCUCCUUGCUAACUCCAUCUCGCCAUAUGGUGUGUUGGAUGAGGCUCGGAUGUGUAGAGUGGCUCGUCGUGCUCAUUGGUGCGGCGGGCUUAAGAGCGCGUUAUCGUCUCAUUGGGCCACGAACGACACGGGGUGGAUGAAAGCUCCGAGCAAAUCCUACGUUGUCUCGUGCUGCCCUGAGAAAGGAUAAUAUGCCUUUGAGGUGAUCCCAACCCAUGCGUCGAUCCACGAGCGGCGGCUUGGAAUGUGACCCCAGGAUGGGCGAGGCCACCCGCCGAGUUUAAGCAUAUCAA
rnacentral:rRNA from 1 species